rnacentral:tRNA from 1 species
UGGAGGAGAAGCGUCCCUGGUGGGGCGUCCGGACUUCAAAUCCGGGAGGGGCCGCGAGCCGGUCCUUGGUGGGUUCGACUCCCACUCUCUUCCGCCA